CACGUAGGGCGCAAGCGUUGUCCGGAAUUAUUGGGCGUAAAGAGCUCGUAGGCGGUCUGUUGCGUCCGCUGUGAAAACUCGGGGCUUAACCCCGAGCCUGCAGUGGAUACGGGCAGACUAGAGGUAGGUAGGGGAGAAUGGAAUUCCCGGUGUAGCGGUGAAAUGCGUAGAGAUCGGGAGGAACAUCAGUGGCGAAGGCGGCCAUCUGGAUCAACACUGACGCUGAAGCACGAAAGCGUGGGGAGCAAACAGG
rnacentral:rRNA from 1 species